rfam:Asian citrus Psyllid, Diaphorina citri - Florida Strain, whole genome shotgun sequence.
GCCUAGUUAGCUUAGUUGUUGGUAGUGCGUCUGCCUUGUAAGCGCUAGGCCGCGGGUUCGAUUCCCGCCCGGGGCG